UGGCAACACUGGUGAAGACCCAGUGGCGAACGGGUGAGUAACACGUGAGGAACCUGCCCCGAAGACCGGGAUAACCCUCCGAAAGGAGAGCUAAUACCGGAUGCCCCCACCAGAUCGCAUGAUCAGGUGAGGAAAUGGAUUCCGCUUCGGGAGGGCCUCGCGGCCUAUCAGCUAGUUGGUGGGGUAACGGCCCACCAAGGCAUCGACGGGUAGCUGGUCUGAGAGGACGAUCAGCCACACUGGGACUGAGACACGGCCCAGACUCCUACGGGAGGCAGCAGUGGGGAAUCUUGCGCAAUGGGCGAAAGCCUGACGCAGCAACGCCGCGUGGGGGAUGAAGGCUCUCGGGUUGUAAACCCCUUUCAGCAGGGACGAAUCAAGACGGUACCUGCAGAAGAAGCCCCGGCUAACUACGUGCCAGCAGCCGCGGUAACACGUAGGGGGCAAGCGUUGUCCGGGUUUAUUGGGCGUAAAGAGCUCGUAGGUGGCUAAGUAAGUCGGACCUUAAAUCCCCAGGCUCAACCUGGGACACGGCUCGAUACUGCUUUGGCUAGAGUCCGGUAGGGGAGCAUGGAAUUCCUGGUGUAGCGGUGAAAUGCGCAGAUAUCAGGAGGAACACCAGCGGCGAAGGCGGUGCUCUGGGCCGGAACUGACACUGGGAGCGAAAGCGUGGGGUAGCAAACAGGAUUAGAUACCCUGGUAGUCCACGCCGUAAACGUUGGGCACUAGGGUGUGGGGGUCUAUUCAACGGACUCCGUGCCGUA
rnacentral:rRNA from 1 species